rnacentral:rRNA from 1 species
CAGCAGCCGCGGGAAUACGAGGGGGGCAAGCGUUGUUCGGAAUUAUUGGGCGUAAAGGGCGCGUAGGCGGUUUGGCAAGUUUCGUGUGAAAUCUUCGGGCUCAACUCGAAGUCUGCACGGAAAACUGCCGGGCUUGAGUAUGGGAGAGGUGAGUGGAAUUUCCGGUGUAGCGGUGAAAUGCGUAGAUAUCGGAAGGAACACCUGUGGCGGAAGCGGCUCACUGGACCAUAACUGACGCUGAGGCGCGAAAGCUAGGGGAGCAAACAGGAUUAGAUACCCCUGUAGUCCCUGUCUCUUAUAA